rnacentral:misc_RNA from 1 species
UGGUUCUGGCAUNGAUGAAGAACGCAGCGAAAUGCGAUAAGUAAUGUGAAUUGCAGAAUUCAGUGAAUCAUCGAAUCUUUGAACGCACAUUGCGCCCAUUAGUAUUCUGGUGGGCAUGCCUGUUCGAGCGUCAUUUCAACCCUUAAGCCCUGUUGCUUGGCGUUGGGAGCCUGCUGUACUGCAGCUCCUUAAAGUUAGUGGCGGAGUUGGGUCACACUCUGAGCGUAGUAAUUUUUCUCGCUUUUGAAGGUGGCCUAUCCCCUGCCGUUAAACCCCCUAUUUCUCAAGGUUGACCUCGGAUCAGGUAGGAAUACCCGCUGA